CUUGUGCUGUUUUGCUCAAAUUUACGCACGCAUGAUUUUGUAUACAUAAUAUAGAUUUAAAACUAGCAAUUCAAAUCCAAAACUCAUGGAGUCAUACAUGACAUCUAUCUAUAAUUUAUAUUUUCUUGAAAUGUUAGGUGAUUCAUUGUUAUUGCCGUUGUUAUAACCCAGUAAACAGACACACACCGCCGUUUAGACAUGUCACAUGUCGUUCUUGUUCCUUUUUAUAAUAUACAACAUACGAUGGACGAUAAAGCUUCGAAUUACUUCUCUUUAAUUUCCAGUCCGGUUUUGUCCAGUCUUUGAAGUGACUUUAUAAGCGCGUGUUGAAACAGGUCAUCUGUACAAGAACCCAUGAUGUUUCGAAUCACAGUGGCCACUUCAAGCACAUUUCGACUCGAUCAUGUUUACAUCAUACAUGAAAAUUGAUACAUGUAAUAUGAAACCGAAAUAUGGUUGUAUUUUGACGAAUAUUAACGAUAUAACGAAAUAUAAAACCCCAAUAUGUAUAAUUCCAUUAGGUGGUCUGCACAUAUUCCCUUGAUGGUGGAAAAUACAUCGAAACAAAAGAAAAAUCCAAUAUUUUCUGCUCACCAACACGUCUCCACUCCUCAGUAAAAAUUAGUGCAUAGUCAGCAUUUUUAGCUUGCAGCAGAACGCGUUUACUUCCGGAAAACACCAGAAUUUGUGGUGUUCCGGUUUGGCUUGUCCCAGGGCUUACGGCAACGCAGGCAGCCGAGAAGCCCUGGGAACGAGGAU
rnacentral:lncRNA from 1 species